AGUGAACGCUGGCGGCAGGCUUAACACAUGCAAGUCGAACGGCAGCACAGUAAGAGCUUGCUCUUACGGGUGGCGAGUGGCGGACGGGUGAGGAAUACAUCGGAAUCUACUUUUUCGUGGGGGAUAACGUAGGGAAACUUACGCUAAUACCGCAUACGACCUACGGGGGAGAGCAGGGGAUCUUCGGACCUUGCGCGAUUGAAUGAGCCGAUGUCGGAUUAGCUAGUUGGCGGGGUAAAGGCCCACCAAGGCGACGAUCCGUAGCUGGUCUGAGAGGAUGAUCAGCCACACUGGAACUGAGACACGGUCCAGACUCCUAAGGGAGGCAGCAGUGGGGAAUAUUGGACAAUGGGCGCAAGCCUGAUCCAGCCAUACCGCGUGUGUGAAGAAGGCCUUCGGGUUGUAAAGCCCUUUUGUUGGGAAAGAAAAGCAGCAGGUUAAUACCACGCUUUGCUGACGGUACCCAAAGAAUAAGCACCGGCUAACUACGUG
rnacentral:rRNA from 1 species